UUUGCGUAGUCGAGACGUCUCGUUUGUCGUUGGUCAGGAAGUGUAUAAAAGAAACUUCCAGCAAAGUAACUUUAGCAGAGGCUUUAAUGCCAAGCUGGCACCUACUUUCGUGAAAGCCCGGGUGAGAAAAAGACUUGGUAAUAGUUACUACGAACUCGAGGACCUACAAGGACGAAUCCUAGGGAAAUUCCAUGCUAAAGAUAUAAAACAAUGAGGUUUCAGGCGUGGAUCACUCUUUUCAGUGUAUCACUGCCAAGUGUGAUCUUGGUAGGGGGGUGUUGUAGUGGCGCCUGUCCAACCAAAAAUAUCGGAUAACCGUCCCACGGUUUCCCCUUCCCUUAGACAUGCACCUUGCACCUUUUGGGCAGUUACGCGCAAGAAAAAAAUGACAUAAGUUAACAGCGGCUACUGUCAAGGUGUGGUGAGAAAAGGGGAAUGAGAGAACCAAGGGCUCAAGCGGAAGGAGAGUGGCUUGGGCAUGUUCUUUCCAAUGUUACUCGCGAUCCCAGACGGACGUCUGAGGAAAAUACUCAAGUAGUGCAGUGAAAGGAAAAAUUCUAACCUCGACCGUAAUUACCGCGUGUCCAUCGUGGCUAAGACCUAGUCAAAAGAUCAGCCGACCAUUCCUACGUUUAUUAAGCGAAGGCCGAACCCAUCGGGUUUGGCCGUACGUAAUACCGUACGAAACGCCAGUCGUAGUGCCGUAAGCCGUACCCACUACAGUCUCGUCACCUUACCACACAUAUAAAUACCCAGCGUCCCGAUCGACUACAGUAUGUGUUAGCCGUCUUCGCCCCCAAAUCUUCUUUCGGCGUGGCGUCUGCAUACAUGUGAGCAUCACUGUAUUUACCGCAGCGUGUACCGGCGUGGGUCCACACACAUACAAGCCUUGCUCGGCCUACACCAGUGAAAAACGGUCGAUGGGCUUUUAUCUACGCGUGCAGUGACAUACAUAUGUACAUCUGUGUGAAAUUGACUAUUCCCUCUUCAGUGACUUUCGUCAUUGCUACGUCGCUUACGCCGCCCGCAUACGAACAGUAACGCUAAAGGAGAAGACAUUUACCGGUGCCGAAAUACUGUUUGCGUUGCUGAUGAAGUCAUUCGGUGUCUCGAUCAUGAUGGCUAUGCCCAUGCAUUUCUUCAUAUUAGAAUAAUACUUUGGAACCCCACUAUUGUACUGACCCUAGGAUUAACAUUAAAAGUUAAAUUCGUGGGAUUCGGUUUGGUUGGCUUAUCAUAAAGAAAUGUGCAGCUAGAAGGAAACGAACUAAAACUAAUACUCGCGCGUAUCGCCUAUCUACUCUGACACACUGAUAUUUACAAGUUUUCAGCCACCCUCAUCGACCACAUGGAAGCGCUUUCAUCGUUGGAUUUGAUCGUAAUCCGUACUGUAACGCUGACCAAUCCAAUUGUUCACGUGUUUGUUUUGUUCUGCUCUUUCGCAAGCAAUGUAACUUUCUGCAAUUCCGAAUCUAUCGACAACCGAACUUAUGAUUGGGAUUACCCCACAAGCAAUUGCUGUGCACUUUAAAGGUGCACCCAUCCGUCCCUUGUUUUUGCAUUUAAACUGAAAACCAUUCGAAUAUAUUUCUAUUUGUGUAACGUAAUUACCAUUAUUCCUGAAUAUACUCUUUAUAAUUAGUUGACUCUAGUCUAAUAAGAUCUUUCAUCAUGAUAUUUUUAUAUAUAUAUAAUUAAUCUUAAUUGCAGCUUAUUUGAACAUAUUAUCCUUAUUACUUUAGUAGCCUUUAUACAUAUAUAUCUACCCUCUUAGCGGCCAUGAGAGCUUGUAGGAAAGUU